GUGGAGUGCGUGAACUUAACCACUAUGCCAUGGGGCCAGCCCCAAUCUGGAAGCUUUUUUUGUCCCUGAGAGAAGUAUAUAUGACAUCUCUCAGACGAUGUCAACAAAGAAUAUGGCCAAAACCAAAACCAAAACGAGAAGAAAAAUAACAAAACCAGGAUGAAAUAGUUCCCAGAGAAUGUCAGUGGAAGACAGAGUUUGAUAGUGGACCAGAAGCCUUCUUGCCACGUUAAAUUAUGGCUCUUCUUGAGGCUACCUGGACUACGUUUUCCCCCUUUGAUGAAAAAAUCAGAGAGGAAAAUCCUAAAUUGACAGAGCUUAUAUCUAAACUGAGAAAAUAGAAAAAUAACUAAAGUUACUCCCCCAGAAAACCUGAGUCACAGAAUAAUAAUGGACUGAUUCUUUUAUACAUAUACCAUGGGUGUGGUCAAGCAUAUUUAUAGCAAAAAAAGAUGAAAACAACAAUAAAAUAAAAUCCCAUCAAGAGAGAAUAGGUCGUUUGUGGCAUUGCUAUAGAACGUGUUCCUCUACUGUGGUGAAAAUAAAGGAACUACUGCUAUGUGAGCUGACGUGGGAGACUUCCCAAAAUAUUGAGUGGAGGAAGCAAGUCAUUAGAAGAAUAUAGAUAAACAUCGUAAGAUAAUAAACAGGCAAACUGAGUAAUACUUGCUUUAGGGAUACGCACAGUGAUAGCAACUAUAAAACUAAGUGGAAGACUAAUGCAAAAAUCAGGACAAUAGUUACUUCUGGGAGUCCAGGAGCAGGAUGGAAUCAAGGGGGCUUCCAUACUAAUAAUAAUGUUCUUUUUCUUAACCUGUGUGGUGGGGACAAAGUCUUUCACUCUAGAAAUGAUUGUUAUUAAAAUAACCCAUAAUGUUGAGGGAAUCGUAUAUUUACAACAUGACAUCAUUUCUGAAGCUGAGUACCUGAGGGUUACUAUAAAUAUUCAAUAAGAACAUGAUUAUCUUUUGACUGUGUUAGUCUCAUUAAUUUGCCGUUUUCUUGUUUAACAUGAGGGGUGACUCAUGGGUUACAAGAAUUCAUGAGCUUGUUUUGCAGAAGAAAAAGAAUGCCUUCAAGGAAGUUAUGAUCACCAGAUAACCAGGCCCCAACUGCCUUUGAUUGCCCAAGAGCUUAUCUGGAGUGAAAGAAACACAGAUUUCCUCUUUGUUUCUCUGAAACUCCUGCUCCCAAGCCCCUUAGCUGUAUAAAACCCUCUGCUUUCUUCUCUUGUGUGGGUGGACUUGAGAGAACCUAUCUUCUGCCUUCUCCUUUUGGCCAACUGGAGUAAACCUUUCUCCAUCUCCAAACACCAUCUCCAAGCACCAGUGUCUCAGUGAUUGGCUUACUGCGCAUCAGCACAUGAACUUGAGAUUAAGAGGUUUGGUAUCAAUUUCUAUAAAGUUUAAAAUCAUGUAGAACUACAUAUUGUUACUAGAUUCAUAUUAAAAGUAUAAAAUGUACCCCAAAUUCAGGGAAGUGGUUAAUUCAGGGGAGAGCGAAGAAACAAGGAUCUUGCAGCAUUCACAGGGGCUUCAAUUGAAGCAGUCAUUUGCAUUUUAUAUUUCUUUAGCUGAGUGGUGUUUGUUAUUUUUUCAUAUGCCUAAAAUAUUUUACCAAAAUGAUAAAAAGCAGAAACCAAUGUGGCUUCAUUGGUGAAUAUGCAAGGAAUGCAGCUUCAAAAGAGCAGAUGGACCCAAGAGGAGAACACAUGACAAAAGACAAAUGCCAAAUUUCCUCUAGGUUCAUUACAACAAGGGCUAAAGAUAGAAGGAGGUCGUAGCAAACCUGUAUCCAGAGCAGGGAGAACAACAGGGAAGCAUUAGGCCUGCUGGCUGAGAAGAACUAACGUGAACAGAUGGUUGUGAGAAAGCAGAGGGUCCCUGCAUUUCAUUCAUUCAACACAUUUGUAUUGACUAUUUCCAUUGGCUUUGUUCUGCUCAUCUCCUAUUUUGCGUAUCUUCUUCAACACGUGGAGACCAAACUGGAAGGAACUGAAAAAUUCCAAACAUAAUCAGUGUCAAGUAGGUAAGGAAUGAAGAGACUACUUAGCAUCUCACAAUUUUUGUUUGUUUAUUUUUGAGAGGUAGCCUAGGACAAGAGUGACGGUAUGUGUUCUGGAACCAGAGUGCCUGGGUUCAAAUUCCAGCUCCACUGAUUUCUAGCUGAGUGUUCUUAAGCCAGCUACUUAAUCCCUCUACGCCUUAAUUCUGUUGUCCAUAAAAAUGUGAAUGACUGUAUCUACUCUAUGGGAUUAUGAAGAUUAAAUGAAUUAAUGUAUGUAAAGACCUCAAAACACUGCCAUAUAAGAGUUUCCUGUUAAUUCUAGCCUCCUUAAGUUUAUUCCAGUUUCCAGGGCUAAAUUAAUUGCCACCUUAGAAACAAUGUCAGAAAUUAUACCAGUUGGUUACUCCAGAAGGCAUGCAUGGGGUCAGGUGCAGUGGGGUUGGGGCAGGGCAGGAAGAUAAUCAGAUAUGUCCAGGCAGAGGGGUACACUAGAGAGAAAAAUUUGGGAGUCAUUAGCACACAGAUUUCAGUGGUUGAUCUUAAAAACAGAUGGUAACUCCCUAGAUUACAGUGGAUGCCUUUCAUUAUGAAUGAAAACUCUCUCCACUGCUAUUCAAGUGAGAAGUUUUAUCCUGCUUCUUUGUUCCCAUCUACCUUCUUCUUACGAUGGCAUUAGUUUGGAGUUCAGUCUUUUUUCAUGUAUCCCAUUUUCACAAUGAACGGACAUUUUCACUUGAACGGACAGUGCUAGACAUCAAGGAGGGAGGAGACAAUGGUUUGUCAUCCGGAAGGACAAUAAAAGUUAUUGGUAGCACACAUGGACCCAGUAAGACCCUUUGGAAAAGGGAUGCAAGCUUAUUUGGAAAAAGAAAAAGAAAACACAAAUUCCUGUGUGAUUUAAUUCUGAUUCAUAGCAAAAAACUUUACGGGCACUCAACCAUCUAGUUCUUUGCUUUAUUUGCUGAUAAUGAGGCCCAGAAAGCUUAUAUUUUAUUACUCGGUAUAUUUUUUCCAGGUUUACUUAUUUCAGUAACUGGAGAGCUGAAAACAGUAUUUUUCAGGUAUUUCUAUACAGCAUUUCUCAUUGCUGGGAUAUUUUGAUGUCACUGAAAUGUAUUUACAUUCUAGACACAUCUGUUACUACACUGAGGACCAUUCAAAGCAAUGUAAGUUGAUGUCCUGCUUGGUAGGCCUUGCUAAUUCUGGUCUGAGUCAGAGGUCUGUUCUUUAUUAUUUAUGUUCUUCUUUAAGAAUAUGAGUAGCAUUCUCCAGCCCUUAAGGCUAAGGAUUGAAAGUUAAAUUUGUAGAGAAAAAUAAUCUUUGGAUAAUUUUGCAGCCUGGCUAAACUUUCCAUCCUAUUUAUUCAGUUAAUAUUGAGUGCCUAAUUUAUGCCACUCAUAUUGAUUCUGAAGAGGCUGAAUCGAAUGAUAGACUUUUUUGGGGGAACACUUCAUUAAGGUUCUAAUUUGGUUGGUUUCCUGUGUCACCAUGUUCAUUGUCAUUGACUUUCUCCAUAUGCCUAUUGAUCCCUUGGACUGCAUAUGCACUUCCCCAUAGUUGUCAGGCUGAGGUGGUUUUCUUCUCAUAAGAAAUGCCAGGUCACUGUCUGGGGAGUGUUCGACAACUUUAUGGUGAUUGUAUUCCAAAAGCAUUUUAGGCAAGGAACUGGCCUAAAAGUGGUCACUUCAUCUUAUUUUGCUUGGCUUAUUUAUCAUUUGUCUUAGUCUUGAAAGCAAGAAAUCUCAGUAUCCAUCCUGGUGUGUGGUCUCAGGUUUGGAAGGAAUGGCUUGGCAGGACUUUUAGAAAUCUUACGAGCUCCUUUGGAUCAUUUACCUACUCAACAUACUGGGAAAAUGGCACCGAACUCUCUCUGAAAUUGCAGUUAAUUUGUAAGAAUAAUGAAGAUGAAUCUACCAAGAGAGAGCAUUUCACGACUCGGUGAUAAUUUAGCUUUUAAAAAUUAUGUUAAAAGAGAAAUCACUAACUACAGCAAUAGCAGCAAUGUUUCUACCAGAACAGACAUUUCUAAUUAACUCCUUGGCCAUUAAACCCUUCAGGCCAAUCCACAUGAGCAAUAAAAAGGUAGUGAGAGAGGAGAAUGUUUUCCUUUUUUGAUUGUCAGCGUUACCAGUCAUACUUUUUUCACUCUUCUGAAUAGUAAACUGUGAGCUGCCGAGAUCUCUAGGGAAAAUUUCUAAAGUAUUAAAAUACUCUCUACAUGGCUAUUAAAAUAAACAUUCCAUCUGCAUAUUAUAAAAUUGAGUCCAAGGAAAGUAUUAGCUCUUAAUAUUCCUCCAGCAGUUCUUUUGUUACAUUUACUUCUCAUAAAGAAGACUAAAUGACAGUUUCUGAGCUUGGCUUGAAAGAAGAGACAUGGCUCUGAUUUUCCUUCCAGAAGAUGAUGAGUUAGGAAUGAGAACAUUUAUUUUCCUUUUGAAUUAUGUACACAGUUGCUUCUCCAAGAAUACCAAAACUGAACAUUUUUCAUCCCUAUUUUCCUUCCAAUUUUAAGGCAUACGUAAGUUGCCUUCCAUAACUACAGAUGGGUAAAGCUUUUCCUAGCAUCCUUCUUGAAUUCUUUGCUUGGAUUAAUCUUAAGCUGAAUUUGAAUAGGGAUUCAAUUUCCACAUUAAAUGGUGUUUAAAUUACUGGAGUUGAGUAUCUGCCUUCCACUACGUAGAUAGGAAAUAUCCAGGACAGUCCUGGCUUCAUGGCUGCCCAAGGCAACCUCUGAAUGAGAAUGCCUAAAAACAACGCCUGACUUUUGUAAAUUCUUCACAGGUUGUAAGGUACGUUGACAUUCUUUAUAUCAUUGCAUCUUAACAGCCCUUUGAGUUAGGCAAGGUAGGGAUUAAUGUCUACUCUUUAUAGGAUGAGGAAAUUGAGGUUUGGAGGGAUUAAAAUAACUUUCAAAUGUCACUUACAGAUUAGUAGCAGAAGGAGGACUAAAGCUCAUUUCCGAAGGCUUUCCAGUUUCCUCCCUCCAUGAAACCACAUUCGUUCUACGCCACGUUGCUCCCAUGCUAUAGCAGAGUUUUCAGACACCCAGAAAGAUGCAGCUAUAGCAUAAAUUAAAACAACGACAGUAGAUUUGGGACUGAGAAGAUGAGGGCUCAAGGUGCAACUCUCCUCCUUCCUAGUUACGUGACCUUGGACAUUUUAGUGAAGUGAUUCUGCUUAUUUCCAAGAGGAGCGUUCUCCUCUCACAGAAAAUCCCGAAAGUGUUGCACUCCAGGCUUUCACAGGCAUUUCUCUGACUUUGGGGUUGGAAAAUCUGGCUAAUUCAUCUGUACUAUUCUCUUACGAAGGACUAUUGAUAGAAAAUACUGGCAACUGUUAUUAAUCAAGAAAAAUCACGACUUCAGUCCUGAAGAACAAUUCCUGCCCAAUGAAUGGAAUGAUUCAUUUUAAUAUUUGAAAUUCUUUUGUCCCUGUAGAUUGGUUAUGAUAACUUCAUUUGAUGAAUCAAGAAGCACAAAGCUUUUAUAUAUUCAUAACAGUACCUUCUAAACUUUUUUGAUUAAUAUAUACUGUUAGUGUAUUAUUAGUGCUAUACACAAAAAUGGAAAUUCCAAAGAAUAAAGCAAAAGAUAUAAACAGUAUUUCUCAUAUUUUCUUCUUUUCUUCCUCCAGGGGAUCAGUUGGUUUAUUUCUUGGAGUAUGUGCAGCCCAUGUUGGAAAUUGUUGUUCUAAAGAAAGAACAAAAGAUCAAUAGCAGACUUAUAUUCAUCACGAACGUAUGAAAUCUUGUCACAUGUUUUGUGACUCAUUUUCUCUUGUCCAAAACAACCCUGAUUUCCAAGGGCACAUGUUUCGUUUUCCUGAGGACGCAUGCGUGAGAUUCUCCAUUCGUAUCCUCCGGUUACAUUUUAGAUUGAAAUCCUUCCACAUGAGUAAGCAGAUAUUACUUUCCUGCAAAGGAUUGAGACCAGCGGCAUGGCUAAGAAUCGUGGAAACAGUGGGAAAGACCAAUUCAAGGCAAAGCAAAUUAGCAAAAGAUGCAGGUAAAAAAGUAUGGAGGACUCAGCAAAAAGCUUGCAUAAAGUUUGUUGUGUUCCUCUUAUUUUUGAUUCUGGAGGCCUGUUCAGAAUGAGAAUAAGGAAUACUUCCGUAUUUUUCGCUGAUUCUAUUUUCUUCAUGGACCAGCCAAUCUACACGCCAGAGUUUGGGAAGUGCAACCUUUAAGGAUGAGAAGAUUUGAAUAGCCAGAAAUCAUGGACAGGAAGAAAGCAAAAGGAUUUUAGCAAAGGCAUCUGUAUAAACAAAGGCGCAGGGAUAGACCGUUGGAGUAGAAGGCCUGAGAGGGAAAAUUUGACCUGUGAGGGAGUGGCAGCCCCAGGGAGUUCACAGAACUACAAUUUGGCUGACAAUCAAGAGUUUGGAGAAGAACAGCACACUUGAUAAAGGUCAGGAAAAAUCUGGAAAGGAAUCAUCAAAGUAAACAUGCUCAGUCUGCAAAGAUGACAGUCGAAAUGGAGUGAUCAUUUACUGCACACCACCUGAAAGCAUUAACAGCUCCUCUAGACAAACAAAAUCAUUUGAGCUGGAAAAAAAUUGUUUUUAAAGUGUGCAAGCUCUCUCAUAAUUGAAUAGCUCAGCAAAGGAGCUUUAAGGUCAUGGUGAGUAGAGAUCUUUUAAGGAACAAGAGCAACCAUUAGGAAGAGGCCUGGUUGCACUAUGUAUCCAGUACAGGAGAGAGAACUAAUGUUCAAUGUAUGCUGAAGAAAUCUGAGGAUUCCAAUAGAGCACCCAUACAUUAUGAGCUGAGGCUGGGAUUAAGGACCAGUCCUUUAGUGUCUACCCAUGGAACACUGGGGUUUGACCUGGAAGGAGAACCAGAGAAAGGCACGUCUGGUGGGACAAGCCAGGUAUUGUGAGCUCUUGCAUUAUAGGUCUUGGUGGAUUACAUUCUGCAAAUGUUACCUGCUGAAUAAUAAUAAGAGCAUUUGUUGAGGAGUUACUCUUAGCAAUGCUAAGUGCUUUGCAAAUAUUAUCUCAGUUAAUCUCCCAAACCGGAUAAAGUAGGUGCUAUUAUUAUAACACGUUAAAACAACCACCUCCAAACCAAGGACCUCCAUUUAAGUAAUUGUCCUAAAGUCACACAGCUAAUACGUCUGUACAGUACAGGCUGACUGAGUUCCUAAGUUUCCCUACACUCCAUUGCCCUAGAGCUUGUCUUCAAACCUUUUGCUUGCAUGAACCCUAAAGGAAUAUUGAUAAUCAAUACUAUGUCCUUUGCAUCCUUUUAUGUUGGCAUCUGAUUUUUCAUCAUAAGUUAAAAAUUUUGCAAAGAUGUAACGUGUUUUAAAAUAUUCUUUUAAAAGAUUUGAUAUUCAUGCUAUUAAAAAAUGUUGCAUUAUUCCU